rnacentral:rRNA from 1 species
GACGAACGCUGGCGGCGUGCUUAACACAUGCAAGUCGAACGGAAAGGCCCUGCUUUUGUGGGGUGCUCGAGUGGCGAACGGGUGAGUAACACGUGAGUAACCUGCCCUUGACUUUGGGAUAACUUCAGGAAACUGGGGCUAAUACCGGAUAGGAGCUCCUGCUGCAUGGUGGGGGUUGGAAAGUUUCGGCGGUUGGGGAUGGACUCGCGGCUUAUCAGCUUGUUGGUGGGGUAGUGGCUUACCAAGGCUUUGACGGGUAGCCGGCCUGAGAGGGUGACCGGCCACAUUGGGACUGAGAUAGGGCCCAGACUCCUACGGGAGGCAGCAGUGGGGAAUAUUGCACAAUGGGCGGAAGCCUGAUGCAGCAACGCCGCGUGCGGGAUGACGGCCUUCGGGUUGUAAACCGCUUUCGCCUGUGACGAAGCGUGAGUGACGGUAAUGGGUAAAGAAGCAACGGCUAACUACGUG